GACGAACGCUGGCGGCGUGCUUAACACAUGCAAGUCGAACGGAAAGGCCCUGCUUGCAGGGUACUCGAGUGGCGAACGGGUGAGUAACACGUGGGUGAUCUGCCCUGCACUUCGGGAUAAGCCUGGGAAACUGGGUCUAUUACCGGGGAGAGGCCAUUUUUAGGGUGAGGGUGGGAAAGUUUUUUCGGUGUAGGAUGGGCUGGCGGCCUAUCUGCUUGUUGGUGGGGUAAUGGCCUACCAAGGCGGCGGAGGGUAGCCGGCCGGAGAGGGUGGACGGCCAACUUGGGGCUGGGGUAAGGCCCAGAACUCUAAGGGAGGCAGGCGGGGGGAAUAUUGGCCAAUGGGCGGAAGGCUGAUGCAGCGACGCCGCGGGGGGGAGGACGGGCUUUGGGUUGGAAACUCCUUUCGCUAGGGACGAAGCUUUUUGUGACGGUAACUAGAUAAGAAGCACCGGCUAACUACGUG
rnacentral:rRNA from 1 species